rnacentral:rRNA from 1 species
ACUGCUCAGUAACACGUGGAUAACCUACCCAAGAGUCCGGGAUAACCCCGGGAAACUGGGGAUAAUACCGGAUAGGCCACCCAGGCUGGAAGGCGGGGUGGUUGAAACUUCCGGGGCUUUUGGAUGGGUCUGCGGCUGAUUAGGUUGUUGCCGGUGUAAUGUACCGUCAAGCCUGUAAUCAGUACGGGUUGUGGGAGCAAGAGCCCGGAGAUGGAUUCUGAGACACGAAUCCAGGCCCUACGGGGCGCAGCAGGCGCGAAAACUCUACAAUGCAGGCAACUGCGAUAGGGGAACAUCGAGUGAUCCUCAUAUUGGGGGUCUGUCCACUCGCCUAAAAAGCGGGUGUUAGCAAGGGCCGGGCAAGACCGGUGCCAGCCGCCGCGGUAAUACCGGCGGCUCGAGUGGUGGCCGAUAUUAUUGAGUCUAAAGGGUCCGUAGCCGGCUUUGCAAGUCUCUCGGGAAAUCCAGCGGCUUAACCGUUGGUCGUCCGGGGGGUACUACAUUGCUUGGGACUGGGAGAGGUAGGAGGUACUCAGGGGGUAGGAGUGAAAUCCUGUAAUCCUUUGGGGACCACCGGUGGCGAAGGUGUCCUACCAGAACAGGUCCGACGGUGAGGGACGAAAGCUAGGGGCACGAACCGGAUUAGAUACCCGGGUAGUCCUAGCCGUAAACGAUGCUCGCUAGGUGUCACAACAGUCGUGAACUGUUGUGGUGCCGUAGGGAAGCCGUGAAGCGAGCCACUUGGGAAGUACGACCGCAAGGUUGAAACUUAAAGGAAUUGGCGGGGGAGCA